rnacentral:rRNA from 1 species
GGGAUUGAAGCUUGCUUCAAUUGCCGGCGACCGGCGCACGGGUGCGUAACGCGUAUGUAACCUACCUAUAACAGGGGCAUAACACUGAGAAAUUGGUACUAAUUCCCCAUAAUAUUCGGAGAGGCAUCUCUCCGGGUUGAAAACUCCGGUGGUUAUAGAUGGACAUGCGUUGUAUUAGCUAGUUGGUGAGGUAACGGCUCACCAAGGCAACGAUACAUAGGGGGACUGAGAGGUUAACCCCCCACACUGGUACUGAGACACGGACCAGACUCCUACGGGAGGCAGCAGUGAGGAAUAUUGGUCAAUGGACGCAAGUCUGAACCAGCCAUGCCGCGUGCAGGAAGACGGCUCUAUGAGUUGUAAACUGCUUUUGUACGAGGGUAAACUCACCUACGUGUAGGUGACUGAAAGUAUCGUACGAAUAAGGAUCGGCUAACUCCGUGCCAGCAGCCGCGGUAAUACGGAGGAUUCAAGCGUUAUCCGGAUUUAUUGGGUUUAAAGGGUGCGUAGGCGGUUUGAUAAGUUAGAGGUGAAAUCCCGGGGCUUAACUCCGGAACUGCCUCUAAUACUGUUAGACUAGAGAGUAGUUGCGGUAGGCGGAAUGUAUGGUGUAGCGGUGAAAUGCUUAGAGAUCAUACAGAACACCGAUUGCGAAGGCAGCUUACCA